rnacentral:rRNA from 1 species
CGCCGUAAACGAUGAUCAUUAGUCGGUGGAGAGUUCACUGACGCAGCUAACGCAUUAAAUGAUCCGCCUGAGUAGUAUGCUCGCAAGAGUGAAACUUAAAGGAAUUGACGGGGACCCGCACAAGCGGUGGAGCAUGUGGUUUAAUUUGAAGAUACGCGGAGAACCUUACCCACUCUUGACAUCCUUCGCAAUGCUAUAGAGAUAUAGCGGAGGGUAACAGAGUGACAGAUGGUGCAUGGUUGUCGUCAGCUCGUGUCGUGAGAUGUUUGGUCAAGUCCUGCAACGAGCGCAACCCCUAUCUUUAGUUACUAACGA